GCGUCCCAGCUGUCCCCUUGCAUACACACUGGCCCGCCGUGGGGUCCCAUUCCCACACAGCUGCCUCUGCGGCUGUUUCCUGAUGGACAGAGGGGACUCUAGCAGCUGACCUCCGAGGCAGCAUGGGAGAGCAGCCCUGAAACUCUCUUCUAAACGGUUUCAACCUUGAGGAAACAUUUGUUCUCUCCUCAUAAAACUGUGACUAUCUUUAAAACUGCAGUAGGACCAGGAUAGCUUGGGAUAGGGAGCGUGUUACAGGGGCGGGACCUGGAAACCCCCAGGAGCGGGGGGCUAAGAGACAGAAACAGAAAAGGCAGUGAAAAAGUCCCUUGGGAAUGAACUGGUCUUCCUGGCUUAUAGAUCACCUUCCCCGAGAAAGCUCCUUCCUUAUUGGCUGACCGUUUUCGGGCAUAAUUGGGAGGGUUUUGUUUUGUUAGAGCAUUCAACACCUUGGCUCCUGGGCGGGAGCAAAGGCAAGAGUGCCCCUUCCUGGCCUUGUGGGCUUGUAUUGCCAAGUCUGAGCUGUCACGAGGGACAGGGCUGCAGGGCCGUCCAGAGUGGAAAGUGCAGGAGCCGUGCCCUCCCCUUGCCUUUCAGAAUCCUGCCACCCCGCUUUCUUGGGCCUCACUGUGCGCCCUGUGCCCACCGUGGCGUUUGGCAGCAGGCUCUCAUCCAGAAGUUAGCUGGGCAAGGUGCUGAGUUUGUACCUUGGUCCUGUUUCUUUUGCAUUUCCUGGAGAGCUUGUUAGUGCUGCGAGAUGGUGGUUACUUAAUAUCUCACCACUGUGACAGGCGCUGAGAAGCAGAAGACUCCAUGCCUAGUGAGAAUGAUAACCCCACAUAUUAUUUGUCUUUUAUCCCGACUGGCAGCCGGUUAUCUUGGGCUCUCUGAGCAGGGAAAGUUUGGAUUCCUGAGCUGCGUGCUCACGGGCACCAGGAGG